UACAGAGGGGGCUAGCGUUGUUCGGAAUUACUGGGCGUAAAGCGCACGUAGGCGGAAUGUUAAGUCAGGGGUGAAAUCCCGGGGCUCAACCCCGGAACUGCCUUUGAUACUGGCAUUCUCGAGUCCGGAAGAGGUGAGUGGAAUUCCGAGUGUAGAGGUGAAAUUCGUAGAUAUUCGGAGGAACACCAGUGGCGAGGGCGGCUCACUGGUCCGGUACUGACGCUGAGGUGCGAAAGCGUGGGGAGCAAACAGGG
rnacentral:rRNA from 1 species